UACGUAGGGUGCAAGCGUGUCCGGAUUAUUGGGCGUAAAGGAGCUACGUAGGCGGUCUGUUGCGUCGGCUGUGAAAACCCGGGGCUCAACUCCGGGCCUGCAGCCGAUACGGGCAGACUAGAGUUCGGCAGGGGGAGACUGGAAAUUCCUGGUGUAGCGGUGAAAUGCGCAGAUAUCAGGAGGAACACCGGUGGCGAAGGCGGGUCUCUGGGCCGAUACUGACGCUGAGGAGCGAAAGCGUGGGGAGCGAACAGG
rnacentral:rRNA from 1 species